GAUCAUGGCUCAGGAUGAACGCUAGCUACAGGCUUAACACAUGCAAGUCGAGGGGCAGCAUUUUAGUUUGCUUGCAAACUGAAGAUGGCGACCGGCGCACGGGUGAGUAACACGUAUCCAACCUGCCGAUAACUCCGGAAUAGCCUUUCGAAAGAAAAGAUUAAAUACCGGAUAGCAUACGAAUAUCGCAUGAAUAUUUUUAUUAAAGAAUUUCGGUUAUCGAUGGGGAUGCGUUCCAUUAGUUUG
rnacentral:rRNA from 1 species